UACGUAGAAGACUAGUGUUAUUCAUCUUUAGUAGGUUUAAAGGGUACCUAGACGGUAUAAUUAGUCUUUAAUAGGAAACGGUUAUACUAGAGUUAUAUAUGAGGAGGUGAGUAUUUGUGGAGUAGAGUUGAAAUUCUUUGAUACCAUGACGACUGGUAAAGGCGAAAGCAACCUUUUAUCUAAUAACUGACGUUGAGGGACGAAGGCUCGGGUCGCGAACAGG
rnacentral:rRNA from 1 species